UGGGGAAUUUUGGACAAUGGGGGAAACCCUGAUCCAGCCAUCCCGCGUGUGCGAUGAAGGCCUUCGGGUUGUAAAGCACUUUUGGCAGGAAAGAAACGUCAUGGGUUAAUACCCCGUGAAACUGACGGUACCGGCAGAAUAAGCACCGGCUAACUACGUGCCAGCAGCCGCGGUAAUACGUAGGGUGCAAGCGUUAAUCGGAAUUACUGGGCGUAAAGCGUGCGCAGGCGGUUCGGAAAGAAAGAUGUGAAAUCCCAGAGCUCAACUUUGGAACUGCAUUUUUAACUACCGGGCUAGAGUGUGUCAGAGGGAGGUGGAAUUCCGCGUGUAGCAGUGAAAUGCGUAGAUAUGCGGAGGAACACCGAUGGCGAAGGCAGCCUCCUGGGAUAACACUGACGCUCAUGCACGAAAGCGUGGGGAGAAAACAGG
rnacentral:rRNA from 1 species